rnacentral:rRNA from 1 species
UACGGGGGGGGCAAGCGUUGUUCGGAAUUACUGGGCGUAAAGGGCUCGUAGGUUGCCAACUAAGUCAGACGUGAAAUCCCUCAGCUUAACUGGGGAACUGCGUCUGAUACUGUAUGGCUUGAGUUUGGGAGAGGGAUGCGGAAUUCCAGGUGUAGCGGUGAAAUGCGUAGAUAUCUGGAGGAACACCGGUGGCGAAGGCGGCAUCCUGGACCAACACUGACACUGAGGAGCGAAAGCCAGGGGAGCAAACGGG